CAGGGAACUGCAACCAUGGUGGGACUGUCUCAUAGACAGAUGUCACAUUCGCUGAAACUUCCUGCCUGGAGUUGGGUGGGGUCAGAAUAUUUAGGAAUCAGAAUAGUCAUCAAUUUCUACAUCAGUGUGUGGAGCGUGGGGAAGGGCUCCAGGUGAAUCUGAUGUCCCCUACAACACACCCAGGACGCUGUGCUCCACCUUGUCAUUAAGUGGCCUCAGUGCUGGGAGGGGAAGGGAGUGGAAGAAGCUCGUGUCUACACCAGCCCAGUCACCCCACUUGGGGCACUUCACUUCUCCAGGCUCAGCUGUCUCGGCUUUAUAAACAAUAAAUAGGAAGGAUUGACUGGC